rnacentral:tRNA from 1 species
GCCUGGGUGGCUCAGUCGGUUGAGCAUCUGACUUCAGCUCAGGUCAUGGUCUUCACGAGUUCGAGCCCCGUGUUGGGCA